rnacentral:rRNA from 1 species
GAUGAACGCUGGCGGCGUGCCUAAUACAUGCAAGUCGAGCGAACAGACGAGGAGCUUGCUCCUCUGACGUUAGCGGCGGACGGGUGAGUAACACGUGGAUAACCUACCUAUAAGACUGGGAUAACUUCGGGAAACCGGAGCUAAUACCGGAUAAUAUAUUGAACCGCAUGGUUCAAUAGUGAAAGACGGUUUUGCUGUCACUUAUAGAUGGAUCCGCGCCGCAUUAGCUAGUUGGUAAGGUAACGGCUUACCAAGGCAACGAUGCGUAGCCGACCUGAGAGGGUGUUCGGCCACACUGGAACUGAGACACGGUCCAGACUCCUACGGGAGGCAGCAGUAUGGAAUCUUCCGCAAUGGGCGAAAGCCUGACGGAGCAACGCCGCGUGAGUGAUGAAGGUCUUCGGAUCGUAAAACUCUGUUAUUAGGGAAGAACAAAUGUGUAAGUAACUAUGCACGUCUUGACGGUACCUAAUCAGAAAGCCACGGCUAACUACGUG